UACGUAGGUGGCGAGCGUUGUCCGGAUUUAUUGGGCGUAAAGCGCGCGCAGGCGGUUCGUUCAGUCCGUUGUGAAAGCUCCCGGCUCAACUGGGAGAGGUCUUCGGAUACUGGCGGACUCGAGGGAGGCAGAGGAAGGUGGAAUUCCCGGUGUAGUGGUGAAAUGCGUAGAGAUCGGGAGGAACAUCUGUGGCGAAGGCGACUGCCUGGACCAGCACUGACACUGAGGCACGAAAGCGUGGGGAGCAAACAGG
rnacentral:rRNA from 1 species